rnacentral:rRNA from 1 species
UACAGAGGUGGCAAGCGUUGUUCGGAAUUACUGGGCGUAAAGCGCGUGUAGGCGGUCCGGUAAGUCCGCUGUGAAAGUCGGGGGCUCAACCCUCGGAUGCCGGUGGAUACUGUCGGGCUUGAGUACGGAAGAGGCGAGUGGAAUUCCUGGUGUAGCGGUGAAAUGCGCAGAUAUCAGGAGGAACACCAAUUGCGAAGGCAGCUCGCUGGGACGUUACUGACGCUGAGACGCGAAAGCGUGGGGAGCAAACAGG